GGCAAAAGAGCAGAAAUACUCACUCAGUAAGAAACAUCAUAAUAAUUCAUGAACUUAUUUACAGAGAGACUAAUAAGAGGCAGAAGAGUGAGAAAUAUGAAGUGAAAUGGAAUUAUUGUACAUAGAAGGAACGGACUUUGGUGCACAGACCCCAGCAGGAAGUGGAUCACCAUGGAAGGCAGCCCAUAGGUUUGAGGUCUUUCCAAUUAGAGGAAACUUUCCCUGGAGCCUGGACUCUGGUGUUGGUGAUAAGGAGUGGAGCACGAGGAUGUGAGGAUCUUCAUGAGAGGGAAACUUGUGAUCGGAGGGUUUGAUUGGUGAUGGUCAGGCACCCGCAGGGGGCGGCGGCGGCGGCGGCGGCGGCAUCAGGAGAGACUCAGGCUGAAAACAAGUUGUGUGUGAGGGAGUUUCAC